rnacentral:rRNA from 1 species
UGCAGGAAGAAGGCCUUCGGGUUGUAAACUGCUUUUGUACGGAACGAAACGGCUCUGGUUAAUACCCGGGGCUAAUGACGGUACCGUAAGAAUAAGCACCGGCUAACUACGUGCCAGCAGCCGCGGUAAUACGUAGGGUGCAAGCGUUAAUCGGAAUUACUGGGCGUAAAGCGUGCGCAGGCGGUUUUGUAAGACAGGCGUGAAAUCCCCGGGCUCAACCUGGGAAUGGCGCUUGUGACUGCAAAGCUGGAGUGCGGCAGAGGGGGAUGGAAUUCCGCGUGUAGCAGUGAAAUGCGUAGAUAUGCGGAGGAACACCGAUGGCGAAGGCAAUCCCCUGGGCCUGCACUGACGCUCAUGCACGAAAGCGUGGGGAGCAAACAGGAUUAGAUACCCUGGUAGUCCACGCCCUAAACGA